rnacentral:misc_RNA from 1 species
CCGAGCGAGGGCCCUCUGGGUCCAACCUCCCACCCGUGUUUAUCGUACCUUGUUGCUUCGGCGGGCCCGCCGGCAUGGCCGCCGGGGGGCACCCGCCCCCGGGCCCGCGCCCGCCGAAGACACCCCUGAACGCUGUCUGAAGAUUGCAGUCUGAGCGAUUAGCUAAAUCAGUUA